rnacentral:rRNA from 1 species
AGUGAACGCUGGCGGUAGGCCUAACACAUGCAAGUCGAACGGCAGCACAGUAAGAGCUUGCUCUUACGGGUGGCGAGUGGCGGACGGGUGAGGUAUACAUCGUACUCUACUUUUUCGUGGGGGUUAACGUAGGGAAACUUACUCUAAUACCGCAUACGACCUACGGUUGAAAGCAGGGGAUCUUCGGACCUUGCGCGAUUGAAUGAGCCGAUGUCGGAUUAGCUAGUUGGCGGGGUAAAGGCCCACCAAGGCGACGAUCCGUAGCUGGUCUGAGAGGAUGGUCAGCCACACUGGAACUGAGACACGGUCAAGAGUCCUACGGGAGGCAGCAGAGGGGAAUAUGGGACAGUGGGGGCAAGCCUGAUACAGCCAUAGCGAGUGGGAGAAGGAGGCCUUCGGGUUGUGAAGCCCUUUUGUUGGGAAAGAAAAGCAGCAGGUUAAGACCCAGCUGUUCUGACGGUACCCAAAGAAGAAGCACCGGCUAACUUCGUG